UACGAAGGGUGCAAGCGUUAAUCGGAAUCACUGGGCUUAAAGCGUGUGUAGGCGGGCGAUCAAGUACCUUGUGAAAUCCCACGGCUCAACCGUGGAACUGCUGGGUAUACUGGUUGUCUUGAGCCAGCUAGGGGCGAGCGGAACAGACGGUGGAGCGGUGAAAUGCGUAGAUAUCAGGAGGAACACCGGUGGCGAAGGCGGGUCUCUGGGCAGUAACUGACGCUGAGGAGCGAAAGCGUGGGGAGCGAACAGG
rnacentral:rRNA from 1 species